AGGAGCGCACAGCUGAGUGGUUACUUCGAGGUAAUGCGCAAGACUCUUAAUCUUGAGAUCGGCGGUUCGAUCCCGCCCAGGGGCAUUAGUAGCCCCUGUAGCAUAGUUAACAACUAUCAACCACUGGCGCUAUCGCUCCUUGCU
rnacentral:vault_RNA from 1 species